AGUGAACGCUGGCGGUAGGCCUAACACAUGCAAGUCGAACGGCAGCACAGUAAGAGCUUGCUCUUACGGGUGGCGAGUGGCGGACGGGUGAGGAAUACAUCGGAAUCUACUUUUUCGUGGGGGAUAACGUAGGGAAACUUACGCUAAUACCGCAUACGACCUACGGGUGAAAGCAGGGGAUCUUCGGACCUUGCGCGAUUGAAUGAGCCGAUGUCGGAUUAGCUAGUUGGCGGGGUAAAGGCCCACCAAGGCGACGAUCCGUAGCUGGUCUGAGAGGAUGAUCCGCCACACUGGAAAUGAGACACGGUCCCGAAUCCUAGGGGAGGCAGCAGUGGGAAAUUUUGGACAAUGGGCGGAAGCCUGAACCCGCCAUCCCGGGUGGGGGAAGAAGGCCUUCGGGUUGUAAAGCCUUUUUGUGGGGAAAAAAAAGCAGCAGGUUAAUACCCCGCUGUUCUGGCGGUACCCAAAAAAAAAGCACCGGCUAACUUCGG
rnacentral:rRNA from 1 species